CCCUUGUGUCCUUGCCUCUCUCUUGCCUCGAACACCUGAUCUCUCUCCAUGUGUCUGAUCUUUCAUUUGGAGAGCGUCCUGUAGGUGGACUGAUGCAGCGGGCAGCCUUGCCAGACUAGCCUCUUGCCCUCAGCAUGAUCCCCUUCUUGCCAGUAGUUUAGGACCUGUGACAUCAGAUGGCCCGUAUGGGCUUUGGAGUCCCUCCCAGCUGCCAGGAAGUAUGAGGCAGGGUGAUCAGCCAUCAGGAGCCAGGUCCUGGAGGGCCUGGCUGUGGGGUGGGUCUGCUGCAGAGCUAUGAAGCUGCCAGCAGGGGGCAGCAGAGGCCUUGCCCAAGGGCGAUUCCAGCGGCACCCUGAGGUCUUGCCCCACUCUGGACCCCAGCUCACAGGUAUCAGCCCAACCCUGAGAUCCAAAUUAGUGACUGAGGCUGGUGACGUGUGGCCAGGAGGGGACAGGGAAGGCCUGGCUGGGAGGGGGCCCACAGUCAGGCAGCCGGAGGCCCCGUCACCCACUACCCCAGGACUUUUGCUGCAGGCUCAGCUUUGCACCAUUCCAGCCUCUCCCUCCACAUCUUCUCUGCACAAAGCCUCCCCAGCAGGGUCAGCAGAGGUGAAGUCCUCAGCACCCCACCUCUCAGCAGAACCACUUUUCUGCAGCCUCAAUGCCAUGAGACCCACAUACCGCCUCCCCCAGACUUCUCACCCGGCUCUGAUUGCCCAGGGCUCAGCAAGGAAAGGGGCUGUGUGUGAUGGAAUGAGUGGAUGAACGGGUCAGCGUUGCGUCUGCGAACCUGCCUUCCUGUGGCCCGCAUCACUUCCUCCCAUCACUCCCUGGUGGCCUUCCUGGAGGCUGUCCUGCCCUGGAUGCUGGCACGGUGCGCACUCCCUCCCAGGCAGCCUCACCCCCGAGUAGCUUUAGCUGCUGGCCCACACUGCCCAGCACAAACUCGCCAGUGGCCCAGAGCCCUGCGCCUGCCCUUGCCGCCUCCGCCCUUCCCACGGAGCUCCAGGGCUUCCCUGCCUGGGGCCGCUGACCCCCGCCCUGCACUUCUCCGUUGAUAUUUGUGGAAUGAGUGAACGAGCUAAUGACUCUGCCUCUGAGGUCCUGUGAGCGCUUCUAGUUCAACACGUACCAGGUGGUCUGCUCUCCGCCGCCAUUCUCCUCUGCCUCCCAACUUAGAAACCCAGGUCAGCCCAGAGGGCCUGCUCCUCACAGGUAAACUACUCACUCUUAUGUCCUGCCCCGGUGCCUGCAUGCUCGGUGCCACCUGCCCAGUGCCCAGCUGCCCCACUCCAGCCGUGCCACCUCCUCGGGCUCCCUGCCUGUCUCUACACCCGCUCCUCUGCCCACACUGCCACUGGGCAUCUGUUCUUAGUGGUCAGUCCCACUGUGCUGACCCCUCCUUAAAAUGCUCCUUGUGUCCACACCCCACAGUUGUGUUUCCAAAGUGUCGGACUCACGAUGGGUGGCACUUGGCAUACUUGCAGGAGGCCGAGGGUCUCCUAUGUGAGAGCCGAGUCCUCUAAGUGACAGUGAACAGGAGCAGGACACGAGGAGCUGUUUCUUUCCCAGCUCUGUCGAGCCUUCAGAUUGCACCAAGGAGAAGGUUUCCAGCGAUGCUUGUCUCCCCUCUUUGGCUAACCCCUUCUUUCAGCAGGAAUCAGGCUGCAGCCAGCUGGCAGCUAGCACGCUAGCUCGAAUGCAGAGGCAGCGAGGUCUUGUUUUCAUUCUGUUUAGUUUACAGUUACAGUAUCUACUAUCUGCAACACGGGCUGUGGAGUUUCUAGCUAUAGUGCUAAAGUCCCAUAAAUUAAAAUUUAUCCACAGAAGAUACCCAUCAAAGGGCCAAUCUAGUGUCCAGGAUACAUAAAGCGAUCUUAAUUAUCAAUGAGAGAAAUCAAUAGAAAUUGAAAUAGAAAGACUCGGUCUUCACAAAGAGGAUACACGAGAUCCUUAAGUGCCAAGUUCAUCAGUCAUCUGAGAAAUGCAAAGUAAAGUCGCAGUGCCACAUUACUGACUCCCACCAGGGCUGACUCGAAGCUCACAGCCUCCAAUGCUGACCAGGGUGUGGAGUGUCCCAGGCAGGUAGGACAAACUGACAACUUAGGAAACAGUGGCCUCAACCAGAACUCAGCCACACUCAGCCAGGAAUUCAGUUCCUGGGGGUGAUUCCAACAGGAGGGAGUAAAAGCACUGACCAGAAGUCUCGCAUACAAGUGUGCACAACAGCUACGCAAAACAGCCCCAAACAGACCACAGUCAGAAACUGCUGUGUGUUCCUAGGAUGGAGUGGGUAUGAAAGAGAACUGAUGGAUUAAAGAAAAUCCCUAUUGCAUCAAAGAAGCCAAACUGGAAGAACAAUUCUGCUUCCAUCCAUGCCAAGAUCAGAGGGAGGUAAAACUAAAGCAUUCUUAAGCCUCAGACCCAGGUCUCCUGUGGCCUGGAGGAGGCGCUGCGCCCCAGCCAGUCUGCCUUCCCACGUGAAAAUCAUUUUCCCCAACCGUGUACUUCUUCGCACACACCUGACACAUCAAGGAAAAUUGCCUAGGGCUGGGGAGGAGCUCCAUGGUCCAGUGAGUGCUCAGCACCACAAGGCCUAAGAUUCAGUUCCCAGUGCCAAAAAGAAGAAAAACAGUGACCUACAGUCAGGCUUCUAAACAACGGACUGUUUAAGACAAACAUCAGAAACCCCUCGCUCAGGCUGUAACGGUCCUGCAGGCAGAGCCCACGGUGGCACGGGGACCAGAGCCUCACUGGGCAGUUCAGCCUCAAGCCACACAGCUGCCAGCUGGCACCAGGGGCACAGAGUGAGAUCCUGGGAACGUGAGUUGGGAUGUGAGCUUGCCUGGCCGCUGGGCUCUAGGCAGGUCGCCCGACACCCUGGGCUCAGCCUCCUCACCUGCAAACCAGGCUGGCAGAGCAGCAGCUCAGACACAGGGCCACCCCUGUUCCUGCUCGGCCUGGCUGAGCCCUGCCAUGCCCUGGUGUCUGAUUGUCCUUCCACCUGGGGUGACAGGGCCUUUCCCCCGUGUGGCCUCUCACCCCCACCCCUGCCUGCGGACACGGAUACCCCAGCCGCCAUGGUCUGUGCUGCUGUGUGUGCAGUCCACUCUUUCUGUGCUGGCAGGCCCUGGACUUGGCUCGUAGGACCAGGCUUGGACACCUCCUCCUUGAUGGAAAAAUGGGCGUUCUUCAAAUGACUAUCACCUCGCUGAGUCCCAGUCAGGACCUGGUUCCUUCUUCACAAUGCAGACCUUCGGCCCUCACCAUUGCUACGGAGAACUGGCACCACGAGAUGGACUGCGAGUGGUGGUGAUCGCUAUGACGUCAGCUCAAAGGUUAGGGACGUCCCCAAGCCACUCAGUUCCUUCUCUGCCCUGUAUGGAUAGGUCACCCACGGGAGGGCCUCCAGCUUCGUCGCUGGUGGGUUCCCUAAGCCGGGCACCUUGGAAGGGAGGGACAGGGAGCCCUGUGCUGAGUGACCGCGAGUGGCCUAGGCCCCUGUGAUUCGCAGUCAAGUCAGCUUCUUAGCAAGAAAAGUGCCGCAGAAGUCGUGUGGAGGCUGCCCUCCGAAUUACGGUAUGAAAAUGAAGUCACCGCACCCCAAGGCCUCCCCACAUGGCAGGCACUCACAGCAGCCUGCUUUUGCCCGAGGUCCCUGAGGCUCAGCUCUCCCCCUUCGGAAUGCAGCCCCUAGGCGGGGACCAUCCUGGGCUAACAGAGCAAGGUGGAGAGGGCAGGACACCCCUUCCAUGCAAGGCCCAGGGAGCAGAGGAGGCUCGGGGCACUGGGUGGGUGGCUUCUCAUUCUGACCAGGUUGCCUCUCUGUCCCCCAGACCUUUGCCCUAUGCCCAGCCAUUUUCCAGUGCCCAGGACAGUGGCGGCAGGGGUGGUGCUCAGCAGACUUGGGAAAUCCCACAGCUGGAGUAGCACAGGGCCGGGGGAGGAAUGCCUGCCCUCCUUUGCCAUUUCUCACUUAUUCAACAAAUGCUGGAUGUGCACCAGCUGCCAGGUGCCAGAAACAAGCCGCAGCAAGUGCAGAGGACACACUCAAACCAAGGCAGUCUGAGAGCAGGGUCAGUUCUGUGGGUGGCGUGGGCAGCGGGGCGGUCAGUGCUCAGCAAGUGCUGUCUCAGAAGGGGACACAGGAGCAGCACCAGCCCUGGGCGGCAGGGGACACGCAGAGGGAGGUGCAGGGAGCACCCAGCAGCUGGGCUAGGACAGAGGAAGGUGACUUGUGUCUCAAGAAUGCUCGAUGGGGCUGGCAGGAGUCAGAGAGACAGGUAGAAGAGGAAGCCAGCCUGGGAAGGGCCUGAGACAUUGGAUUCACUUCACCGCAGGAUGUGGCCCCCGACAGAGCCACGUGUUCUCUGGGACACUUUACGAAUUUCGUGCUCUGGCCAAGUGAGAGGCAGGGUGGAACGAUGAGCACCAGGCCUGAGUCUGUGCGGAAGCUGAGACCCGUGGACCCAGCUACUGGCACGUUGCUUCCUGGCUGCAGUGGUCUCAGCUCUGUCCUGCUGUCCUAGCACUGGUGGGGAGAGCGACAGCUGGCUCUGCCACCGUGAAACAAGGGCUGGGAUUGCUGUGAGAGUCAUCGAGUUAUCAGACCGUGGAUUUUCAGAGACGGUGGCUGAAGGACACGCUGUGAGCUCAGGGCGGGAGUCCAGGGGCACACAGUCAGCAAUGAGGACAAGGUUCCAGGGUGUCCUGGUGGAGGGAAGGCUGGCAGGACACAGCCGGGCACCGUGCAAAUGCUGGCUCAUUCUGAAUGAGGCUGGAGGGGACACCAGACAGCAGCCAGAAGGGCAGGUGCCCGGGAGGCAGCAGCACCUGUGCCGACCACCUAGGGCUAGGGUUGGAGAAGAUGGUGGGAAGCUUGGAAGCUGCAGCGGGCACCAAGAACCAUGUCCACUCACCGUCCAGCACCUGCUCUGCACCCUAGGUGGGGUCCAACCUGGGUGCCAGGUUCGUGCCAGGCCCCGUGGGCUCUGUGCCAUGCUGCUGUGGCUCCCAGGUGCCUCCUCAGCCAUGUGACACUGCCACCUGCUUCCUCCUGGGGCUCGGCUGGGACCCCAUCCUCGGAGGACAGAGAGAGGCUCGCCAUAGGCUCUGCCACCGUGGCUGCAGAGACACUGGGACUUGUCCUGAGAACACGGGGGAGGCUGAUGGGUGGGAAGUCGGAACUUAGCAAGCGCUGGCCAGCUCAGUCCCUCCUUACCCAUUCUCCAGUGCCAGGCAGGAGAGGGUGCCACCCGGGACGCAGGGCUGAAGCCUAGUCCCGAGGUCCUGGGAUCACAAAGACAGACAAGUGGCCAGUGAGCCGGGCUGGAAGUGAGGACCCGCAGUGGACAUGGCUGCCCUGCGGAGGAGCCUCAGCCUGAGCUCACAGGGCUCACUCCCAAGUCGGGCGUCUCCAGGGGCCAGGCAGGGCGUCCAGAAGCCUAAACUUGCCUUCCUGGCAGGGGGACACUGACCCUGUGGUCCCAGCUGCCUACCCUUGACCUCUGGAGGUAGCAUCCACCCCUCAAACCCAUCUCAACACACCCUCCCUGCAGAGGAGGAAGCUGGCUCACACUGUGCCCGAUCUGCCCCACAGUGGUGCGCACACCCCCCGUCUUCUCUGCAUCCCUCUUCUCCUCCCUCCCUGCUCCACCCCUCUUCCUCUCUCUUCCUCCCUCCUUCCCUUCAUCCACUCCUCCCACAUCCCCCAUCCAGCCAGUUAUGCAAUGACAUUUGUCACAGUGCUCUGGGGACCGCAGAAGGUGCUCAGGACACAGCAACGGAGAGGUAGACUGGAUUGGAGAGCCGGCUGUGGUUCCACAGCCCAGCAUUCCUAGGGUAAGGUUCUGGUCUGGAGCUGGGGCUGCUCCCUGGAGCCCCUGUGCCCGCCCAUCUCCAGAGGCCAUGACCAAAUGUGUGUCCUGGCUCAGGAGCCAGACUUGGCCCAGGCCCAGCUCCAGCCCUUGGUGGGUGCUGACCCGGAGCGCCUCGUGGGGCUGCAGACACCUCUGGCUUGUCUAUCCCCGCACCAUCCUCUGUCUGUCCACACAUGGUCAGAGCUUCUUCCAGCAUGGCAGGCUCAUACUGUGCACAAGGCUUGGCUCAGCUUCAAGGAGAGAGGACAAUGUAGACAUCACCUCUCGAUGGAAAGAGUACCGAAGAACUUGCGGUGACAUCGCAGAUCAGUGUAACAGUAUGUGCCCCGAACACAGGACGGAAGCUUCCGGAAGGCGGUGCCGUGCCCUCUUGCCUAGCUCCAUGAGCGUUUGCAGAAUGAUCCUCAUGAGGAAAGCUCACGGUCCCUGGCACCCUCCCGGCGCUCCACCCUCUCCCUGCCUGCCUGGUGCUGGGCAGGGCUCCUGUCUGCCACGCACAAUGGGAGGCCACCCAUACUGCAGGAGCCCUGUUUUCCUGGCAUACGCAUGAAGACAGAAUGAAGCCCGGAGAUUCAGAGCCCCGCAGCUGCCAUCUGGACAUGGCCACUGGGGUGGAGACAGGGACAGCCACGGGGCAAGCUCAGUGCAGGUGGAGGAAAGCAGGACCAGGAGGCCAGGGCUGGGGCCGACCCUCGCUAUGCUCGGCCUGGCCUUGCAGCUGUGUUGUGGACAGUCCUGUGCCACCUUCCCUGGGAAGCGCUGUGCAGUUUGUGAACAGAAGUCUGUGAGGCACCACGCUGUGCCUGGUGUGAUGGCCCGGCCAUCCAAGCCCCGGGGCCUCCCCAUUUCAAGCCACGGCCUCUGUGGCCACCACCAGAAGAAAGGAGAGAACAGAGGGCUAGACACCAGCACUCACAGGCUGUGGCCUAGAGUGACACGCGUCACCUCCAUCACAGCCCAGUGGUCAGGGCCACGGAGGUCCAGGUGGCUGCCGCUGUCCUGGGGAAGAGCAGACAGAGGACAGGGGAAGCCACAGAGCUCGGGCCUGGACACCGGCAUGGAGCCUGAGCUGC
rnacentral:lncRNA from 1 species